rnacentral:rRNA from 1 species
AUGCUUGACACAUGCAAGUCGCACGGCGGGGGCAACUCCGUCAGUGGCGGACGGGUGAGUAACGCGUAGGAAUCUAUCCUUGAAUGGGGGGACAACCGUGGGAAACUACGGCUAAUACCGCAUGAUGCCUGAGGGCCAAAGACGAAAGUCGUUUGAGGAGGAGCCUGCGUCUGAUUAGGUAGUUGGUGGGGUAAAGGCCUGCCAAGCCUGCGAUCAGUAGCUGGUCUGAGAGGAUGAUCAGCCACACUGGGACUGAGACACGGCCCAGACUCCUACGGGAGGCAGCAGUGGGGAAUAUUGGACAAUGGGCGCAAGCCUGAUCCAGCAAUGCCGCGUGGAUGAAGAAGGUCUUCGGAUUGUAAAGUCCUCUUGGCAGGGACGAUGAUGACGGUACCUGCAGAAUAAGCUCCGGCUAACUUCGUG